UCCCUGAUGGUCUAGUGGUUAAGACUCUGCUUCCACCACAGGGAGUAUGGGUUCGACCCCUGGUCAAGGAA
rnacentral:tRNA from 1 species